AUUGAACGCUGGCGGCAUGCCUUACACAUGCAAGUCGAACGGUAACAGGGAGCUUGCUCCGCUGACGAGUGGCGAACGGGUGAGUAAUGUAUCGGAACGUACCAUUCAGUGGGGGAUAACGUAGCGAAAGUUACGCUAAUACCGCAUAUUCUGUGAGCAGGAAAGCAGGGGAUCGCAAGACCUUGCGCUGAUUGAGCGGCCGAUAUCAGAUUAGCUAGUUGGUGAGGUAAAGGCUCACCAAGGCGACGAUCUGUAGCGGGUCUGAGAGGAUGAUCCGCCACGCUGGAACUGAGACACGGUCCAGACUCCUACGGGAGGCAGCAGUGGGGAAUUUUGGACAAUGGGGGCAACCCUGAUCCAGCCAUGCCGCGUGAGUGAAGAAGGCCUCGGUUGUAAGCUCUUCGGUCCGGAAAAUACGCAUCAGUUAAUACCUGGUGUGGAUGAUGGUACCGGAAUAAGAAGCACGGCUAACUACGUG
rnacentral:rRNA from 1 species